AUUGCGCGUUCGCUGAGGCGGUGUGGUUGAGCGGAGCAUGCGCAGGUGUCCCGUCCGAGCUGAAGCGGUCGGUAUGGCUGCCAGCGCCAAGUCGUUCCUGUCCGAUGCGGGCUAUGGGGAGUAGGAGCUGGACGCGAACUCUGCUCUCAUGGAAGUCGACAAAGGUCUCAGGUAUGGGAAGCUCGGAGAGCAGUGCGAAGCCGUCGUUCGUUUUCCCAGGCUCUUCCAGAAAUACCCGUUCCCCAUUCUCAUUAAUUCAGCUUUCCUAAAGUUGGCUGAUGUGUUCUGAGUCGGAAACAACUUCCUGAGGCUCUGUGUGCUGAAAGUUACUCAGCAGAGUGAGAAGCACUUAAGAGAAGAUCCUAAAUGUGGAUGAGUUCGUCAAAAGAGUCUUCUCCGUCAUUCACAGCAAUGAUCCAGUUGCUCGGGCCAUUACCCUUCGGAUGUUGGGCAGCAUGGCGUCUGUCAUUCCAGAAAGGAAGAAUGCACAUCACAGUAUUCGUCAAAGUUUGGAUUCCCAUGAUAAUGUGGAAGUUGAAGCUGCAAUAUUUGCUGCUGCCAAUUUUUCUGCACAAUCAAAGUAAGAUGUUAUUUUUGUUUCCAGUUUUUCGUAUCACAGAGAAUGGAAACCCCGUUAGCACUGGCAUUCACAAACCUUUGGUAGUGCCAACCAUGUAAUUUUUAUCAAAAUGUUUGCUUGUAUGGAACAUUAUGAAGAAAUCUGAGCACAGAUUUA